rnacentral:rRNA from 1 species
GAUGAACGCUGGCGGCGUGCCUAAUACAUGCAAGUCGAGCGAACAGACGAGGAGCUUGCUCCUCUGACGUUAGCGGCGGACGGGUGAGUAACACGUGGAUAACCUACCUAUAAGACUGGGAUAACUUCGGGAAACCGGAGCUAAUACCGGAUAAUAUAUUGAACCGCAUGGUUCAAUAGUGAAAGACGGUUUUGCUGUCACUUAUAGAUGGUUCCGCGCCGGAUUAGCUAGUUGGUAGGGUAACGGCUUACCAAGGCAACGAUGCGUAGCCGACCUGAGAGGAUGAUCGGCCACACUGGAACUGAGACACGGUCCAGACUCCUACGGGAGGCAGCAGUGGGGAAUAUUGGACAAUGGGCGAAAGCCUGAUGCAGCCACACCGCGUGGGUGAAGAAGGCCUUCGGGUUGUAAAGCCCUUUUGUUGGGAAAGAAAAGCAGUAGAUUAAUCCCCCGCUGUUUUGACGGUACCCAAAGAAAAAGCACCGGCUAACUUCGUG